GCUUACGGCCAAACCAGACGAACAUCACCCUGUCUCGCCUGAUCUCUGAAGCUAAGAAGGCUUGGGCCUGGUUAGUACUUGGAUGGGAGACUGCCUAGGAAUACCAGGUGCUGUAUGCU
ensembl:rRNA 5S_rRNA 5S ribosomal RNA